UUAAGCGACUAAGCGUACACGGUGGAUGCCCUGGCAGUCAGAGGCGAUGAAGGACGUGCUAAUCUGCGAUAAGCGUCGGUAAGGUGAUAUGAACCGUUAUAACCGGCGAUUUCCGAAUGGGGAAACCCAGUGUGAUUCGUCACACUAUCAUUAACUGAAUCCAUAGGUUAAUGAGGCGAACCGGGGGAACUGAAACAUCUAAGUACCCCGAGGAAAAGAAAUCAACCGAGAUUCCCCCAGUAGCGGCGAGCGAACGGGGAGGAGCCCAGAGCCUGAAUCAGUGUGUGUGUUAGUGGAAGCGUCUGGAAAGGCGCGCGAUACAGGGUGACAGCCCCGUACACAAAAAUGCACAUGCUGUGAGCUCGAUGAGUAGGGCGGGACACGUGGUAUCCUGUCUGAAUAUGGGGGGACCAUCCUCCAAGGCUAAAUACUCCUGACUGACCGAUAGUGAACCAGUACCGUGAGGGAAAGGCGAAAAGAACCCCGCGAGGGGAGUGAAAAAGAACCUGAAACCGUGUACGUACAAGCAGUGGGAGCACGCUUAGGCGUGUGACUGCGUACCUUUUGUAUAAUGGGUCAGCGACUUAUAUUCUGUAGCAAGGUUAACCGAAUAGGGGAGCCGAAGGGAAACCGAGUCUUAACUGGGCGUUAAGUUGCAGGGUAUAGACCCGAAACCCGGUGAUCUAGCCAUGGGCAGGUUGAAGGUUGGGUAACACUAACUGGAGGACCGAACCGACUAAUGUUGAAAAAUUAGCGGAUGACUUGUGGCUGGGGGUGAAAGGCCAAUCAAACCGGGAGAUAGCUGGUUCUCCCCGAAAGCUAUUUAGGUAGCGCCUCGUGAAUUCAUCUCCGGGGGUAGAGCACUGUUUCGGCAAGGGGGUCAUCCCGACUUACCAACCCGAUGCAAACUGCGAAUACCGGAGAAUGUUAUCACGGGAGACACACGGCGGGUGCUAACGUCCGUCGUGAAGAGGGAAACAACCCAGACCGCCAGCUAAGGUCCCAAAGUCAUGGUUAAGUGGGAAACGAUGUGGGAAGGCCCAGACAGCCAGGAUGUUGGCUUAGAAGCAGCCAUCAUUUAAAGAAAGCGUAAUAGCUCACUGGUCGAGUCGGCCUGCGCGGAAGAUGUAACGGGGCUAAACCAUGCACCGAAGCUGCGGCAGCGACGCUUAUGCGUUGUUGGGUAGGGGAGCGUUCUGUAAGCCUGCGAAGGUGUGCUGUGAGGCAUGCUGGAGGUAUCAGAAGUGCGAAUGCUGACAUAAGUAACGAUAAAGCGGGUGAAAAGCCCGCUCGCCGGAAGACCAAGGGUUCCUGUCCAACGUUAAUCGGGGCAGGGUGAGUCGACCCCUAAGGCGAGGCCGAAAGGCGUAGUCGAUGGGAAACAGGUUAAUAUUCCUGUACUUGGUGUUACUGCGAAGGGGGGACGGAGAAGGCUAUGUUGGCCGGGCGACGGUUGUCCCGGUUUAAGCGUGUAGGCUGGUUUUCCAGGCAAAUCCGGAAAAUCAAGGCUGAGGCGUGAUGACGAGGCACUACGGUGCUGAAGCAACAAAUGCCAUGCUUCCAGGAAAAGCCUCUAAGCAUCAGGUAACAUCAAAUCGUACCCCAAACCGACACAGGUGGUCAGGUAGAGAAUACCAAGGCGCUUGAGAGAACUCGGGUGAAGGAACUAGGCAAAAUGGUGCCGUAACUUCGGGAGAAGGCACGCUGAUAUGUAGGUGAAGCGACUUGCUCGUGGAGCUGAAAUCAGUCGAAGAUACCAGCUGGCUGCAACUGUUUAUUAAAAACACAGCACUGUGCAAACACGAAAGUGGACGUAUACGGUGUGACGCCUGCCCGGUGCCGGAAGGUUAAUUGAUGGGGUCAGCGCAAGCGAAGCUCUUGAUCGAAGCCCCGGUAAACGGCGGCCGUAACUAUAACGGUCCUAAGGUAGCGAAAUUCCUUGUCGGGUAAGUUCCGACCUGCACGAAUGGCGUAAUGAUGGCCAGGCUGUCUCCACCCGAGACUCAGUGAAAUUGAACUCGCUGUGAAGAUGCAGUGUACCCGCGGCAAGACGGAAAGACCCCGUGAACCUUUACUAUAGCUUGACACUGAACAUUGAGCCUUGAUGUGUAGGAUAGGUGGGAGGCUUUGAAGUGUGGACGCCAGUCUGCAUGGAGCCGACCUUGAAAUACCACCCUUUAAUGUUUGAUGUUCUAACGUUGACCCGUAAUCCGGGUUGCGGACAGUGUCUGGUGGGUAGUUUGACUGGGGCGGUCUCCUCCUAAAGAGUAACGGAGGAGCACGAAGGUUGGCUAAUCCUGGUCGGACAUCAGGAGGUUAGUGCAAUGGCAUAAGCCAGCUUGACUGCGAGCGUGACGGCGCGAGCAGGUGCGAAAGCAGGUCAUAGUGAUCCGGUGGUUCUGAAUGGAAGGGCCAUCGCUCAACGGAUAAAAGGUACUCCGGGGAUAACAGGCUGAUACCGCCCAAGAGUUCAUAUCGACGGCGGUGUUUGGCACCUCGAUGUCGGCUCAUCACAUCCUGGGGCUGAAGUAGGUCCCAAGGGUAUGGCUGUUCGCCAUUUAAAGUGGUACGCGAGCUGGGUUUAGAACGUCGUGAGACAGUUCGGUCCCUAUCUGCCGUGGGCGCUGGAGAACUGAGGGGGGCUGCUCCUAGUACGAGAGGACCGGAGUGGACGCAUCACUGGUGUUCGGGUUGUCAUGCCAAUGGCACUGCCCGGUAGCUAAAUGCGGAAGAGAUAAGUGCUGAAAGCAUCUAAGCACGAAACUUGCCCCGAGAUGAGUUCUCCCUGACUCCUUGAGAGUCCUGAAGGAACGUUGAAGACGACGACGUUGAUAGGCCGGGUGUGUAAGCGCAGUGAUGCGUUGAGCUAACCGGUACUAAUGAACCGUGAGGCUUAACCUU
rnacentral:rRNA from 1 species